rnacentral:rRNA from 1 species
GAUGAACGCUGGCGGCGUGCCUAAUACAUGCAAGUCGAGCGAACAGACGAGGCGCUUGCCCCUCUGACGUUACCGGCGGACGGGUGAGUAACACGUGGAUAACCUACCUAUAAGACUGGGAUAACUACGGGAAACCGGAUCCAACACCGGAUAAUAUAUUGAACCGCAUGGUUCAUUAGAGAAAGACGGUUUUGCUGUCACUUAUAGAGGGAUCCGCGCCGCAUUAGCUAGUUGGUAAGGUAACGGCUUACCAAGGCGACGAUGCGUAGCCGACCUGAGAGGGUGAUCGGCCACACUGGAACUGAGACACGGUCCAGACUCCUACGGGAGGCAGCAGUAGGGAAUCUUCCGCAAUGGGCGAAAGCCUGACGGAGCAACGCCGCGUGAGUGAUGAAGGUCUUCGGAUCGUAAAACUCUGUUAUUAGGGAAGAACAAAUGUGUAAGUAACUAUGCACGUCUUGACGGUACCUAAUCAGAAAGCCACGGCUAACUACGUG